rnacentral:rRNA from 1 species
UAGGGAAUAUUGCGCAAUGGGGGAAACCCUGACGCAGCGACGCCGCGUGAGUGAUGAAGGCCUUCGGGUCGUAAAGCUCUGUCGUAUGGGACUAACAAAAUGAAGGUACCAUGCAAGAAAGGAUCGGCUAACUUCGUGCCAGCAGCCGCGGUAAGACGAGGGAUCCUAGCGUUGUUCGGAAUCAUUGGGCGUAAAGCGGGUGUAGGCGGGCUUAUAAGUCAGGUGUGAAAUCCCAGGGCUCAACCCUGGAAGUGCACUUGAUACUGUAAGUCUUGAAUGUGGUAGAGGUUACUAGAAUUUCUGGUGUAGUGGUGAAAUACGUAGAUAUCAGAAGGAAUACCGGUGGCGAAGGCGGGUAACUGGACCAACAUUGACGCUGAGAUCCGAAAGCGUGGGGAUCAAACAGG